UAGCUUCGUUAGGUGAGGCUCCUAAAUGAACAUAAGCCACUGCCCAAAAAUGUCGAGAGACGCCAAUGGGUAGAACAGGUAUUACCGGAUUAAGGUUUUACAUAAUGUGGCUGAGCGUUUUUGUAUUUUGCUCUACGUUAUUUAGUGCUAAAACUCAACGAGUGGGG
rnacentral:sRNA from 1 species